UACGUAGGGUGCGAGCGUUGUCCGGAAUUACUGGGCGUAAAGAGCUCGUAGGUGGUUUGUCGCGUUGUCCGUGAAAACUCACAACUCAAUUGUGGGCGUGCGGGCGAUACGGGCAGACUGGAGUACUGCAGGGGAGACUGGAAUUCCUGGUGUAGCGGUGAAAUGCGCAGAUAUCGGGAGGAACACCUAUUGCGAAGGCAGCUCGCUGGGACGUCACUGACGCUGAGGCACGAAGGCCAGGGGAGCAAACGGG
rnacentral:rRNA from 1 species